AGAGUUUGAUCCUGGCUCAGGACGAACGCUGGCGGCGCGCCUAACACAUGCAAGUCGAACGGAGCAUUGAGAGCUUGCUUUUAAUGCUUAGUGGCGAACGGGUGAGUAACGCGUGAGUAACCUGCCCUGGAGUGGGGGACAACAGUUGGAAACGACUGCUAAUACCGCAUAAGCCCACGAUCCGGCAUCGGAUUGAGGGAAAAGGAUUUAUUCGCUUCAGGAUGGACUCGCGUCCAAUUAGCUAGUUGGUGAGGUAACGGCCCACCAAGGCGACGAUUGGUAGCCGGACUGAGAGGUUGAACGGCCACAUUGGGACUGAGACACGGCCCAGACUCCUACGGGAGGCAGCAGUGGGGGAUAUUGCACAAUGGGGGAAACCCUGAUGCAGCGACGCCGCGUGGAGGAAGAAGGUUUUCGGAUUGUAAACUCCUGUCGUUAGGGACGAUAAUGACGGUACCUAACAAGAAAGCACCGGCUAACUACGUGCCAGCAGCCGCGGUAAAACGUAGGGUGCAAGCGUUGUCCGGAAUUACUGGGUGUAAAGGGAGCGCAGGCGGACCGGCAAGUUGGAAGUGAAAACUAUGGGCUCAACCCAUAAAUUGCUUUCAAAACUGCUGGCCUUGAGUAGUGCAGAGGUAGGUGGAAUUCCCGGUGUAGCGGUGGAAUGCGUAGAUAUCGGGAGGAACACCAGUGGCGAAGGCGACCUACUGGGCACCAACUGACGCUGAGGCUCGAAAGCAUGGGUAGCAAACAGGAUUAGAUACCCUGGUAGUCCAUGCCGUAAACGAUGAUU
rnacentral:rRNA from 1 species